CAGUGGGGUCAAGAUGGUCGAUAGUGUUGCACAGCCCUGAACCAUGGAGGAAGGUUUUCUCUGGUCUCCCACCUUGCCCCAAAUCAUCCAUGAAGGCCUAGUGGAGCUUUAUGGAGAGGAGCUUCUGAGUCGUGGCAGCUCCCUUACGUCUGCAACUCCCAGGGGAUCUGUGGGCUCGUGCUGGUCACACUUGCUCCUGGCAACGGGUGGAGCCGAUUUCUCCACUUCUGGAAUCUCGGCUGGCUUCUGACUUACUUUCGUACACGAGUAUGGGGCACAAGGGACAGUGUGCCAGUUUCAAGUCGAGGUCACUGCCGUGGGAAAAAGCUCAGGCUGGCCUAUUGGACGAUGAGAGACCACGUAGAAGAGGGCUGUGGCACCCCGACCGCGGCCAGUCGACUCGCGUGGAUGAGGAGACAGAAGCUCAGAAGGCUGAUUUGAUGAUAAUAAUAGUGACUAAAUAUGGAGGGUCCACUAGGGCCUGGAAUGUUCAUAAGCUGCUUCUUCCAGAAUUGGAACCACAGGAUCUGUAGGUGCAGCAUAACCCAGGCAAACACCAACCCCCAAACUAACUUGCUCACAAACCGAAGGCAAGCUCUGUUAUCGCACAUGGUUUUUUGCACGAGACUUAAGAAGAGAUCGUCUUCUGUCUGCACUGUCAUACAAGUCAAGGUGAUGCGAUUUGCCUUCCAAUAAACU